rnacentral:rRNA from 1 species
UGGGGAAGCGAUUCCUUGGUACCGUAGCUAACGCGUGAAGUGAGCCGCCUGGGGAGUACGGCCGCAAGGUUAAAACUCAAAGGAAUUGACGGGGACCCGCACAAGCGGUGGAUGAUGUGGAUUAAUUCGAUGCAACGCGAACAACCUUACCUACCCUUGACAUGUCUGGAAGGCUGCUGAAAGGUGGCUGUGCCCGAAAGGGAACCGGAACACAGGUGCUGCAUGGCUGUCGUCAGCUCGUGUCGUGAGAUGUUGGGUUAAGUCCCGCAACGAGCGCAACCCUUGUCCCUAGUUGCUACGCAAGGGCACUCUAGGGAGACUGCCGGUGACAAACCGGAGGAAGGUGGGGAUGACGUCAAGUCCUCAUGGCCCUUAUGGGUUAGGGCUUCACACGUCAUACAAUGGCCGGUACAGAGGGUUUGCCAACCCCCGAGGGGGAGCCAAUCCCAGAAAGCCGGUCGUAAUCCGGAUUGCAGUCUGCAACUCGACUGCAUGAAUUCGGAAUCGCUAGUAAUCCCCGAUCAGCAUUUCCCGUGAAUACUUCCCCGGU